rnacentral:lncRNA from 1 species
UCAAUAUCUGUAUUAUUCUCUCUGGAUAGUAUACUCUUGUACUCACUACAAUAAGUUAUGAUUUUUAAUUUUAUCUCAACAUAAAAAAAUUAGUUAGAACACUAAAAAGUAUGCUAAGAUAGUACUUACUCAAUGAAAUCUUCAAUUUUUUUAUAAUUAUUUAGAACAUAAAAGUGUGCCUUGGAUAGCUCAUUCAUAUCUAUAAACUCAUAUCUCCUUCCACCCAU